ACACUCUACACUCCGCGGCGAAGGGAAACUCCAUGGCAAUGUGCUUCUUCAAAACCCAUGGUUGGAUGUUGCCUGAUGAGAGCAAGGAGCUGUGAAAUGAAUGAGUCCAGGAAAAGGGUAUUAUUUCAUUGGUCUUUCUUUACGCAAAGCAUUAUGAAAAUGAGCUAUCAGUCCACUGUCAGGAAAAGAGUCAAUGUGCGGUGAAUCGGAGAUGUUUGUGAGAGCAUGAGGGAGGAUCAUAAAGCUCUAUUGGGUUUUCGGGAUUAGAAUUGUGUCCAAGCCUAGGGUAGAUCUUGGUUCCACUUUGGAUUUCUCAUGUUGGAAAGGUGUUUUAUUCCAUCGUAUUCUUGAUCGACUUAGAAGCCGUUUGGCUAGUUGGAAGUUAUCUUUUUUAUCGUUUCUAGGGAGAUUUGAUUUUAGUCAAUCUCUUUCAGCCAUUCCCACUUAUUGUUCUCAGUCUUUGGGGUUCCGAAGUAUUUUGUGCGAGAGGUUCAAAGUAUUUUCGUAAGGUUCUUAUGGGGUAAGAGUGAAGGCAACGGUGUUUGCUGGAAGAAAUGGAAGGAUUUGUGUAAGCCAAGGGAUUAGGUGGUCUUGGGCUAAGAGAUGAGUUGUUUUAACCGGGCUUUGCUGGCCAAACAAGAUUGGAGGUUGCUUAAUAAGUGGUAACUGGUAACCCAGAGGCUUUAAUCGUGAAAGCUUUAUUUGGUGGAUAUUGUUGGAGGUAGGAAUUUAUGUAGUUCGGAGCUUCCUCUGGUUGCUCUUGGGACUGGAAGAGUAUCCUUUGGGGUCAUGAUCUGCUUCUUAGGGGUGUUGGAUGGAGGGUAAGAGAUGGCUGCAAGAUUAUUGUUUUUGGGCAUAAGUGGAUUCCUUGUUCAUCUAAUCCUUAUUUGAUUGUGGCUCCAAGUGGGAUUAACGACUUCCAGGUGAGAGAGCUUAUUGUUGGGAGUAGUUGAGGUGGCACAAACAUUUGAUUGUGGUUCUGUUUCCGCCGGAGGUGGUUUCUCAAAUUUUAGCUAUUCAUGUGGCAAGGGUGCAGUUUGAUAAUGUUAUGUAUUGGACUGUUUCUAAUGAUGGGGAUUUCUAGGUUAAAUCGACACACUUUUUAGCUGUCAUGGCUUGUGGGUUGUCAUUUCAGGUGGGGAUGGUUUUGGUCUAUCAAAGAAAGUUUGGGGGCUUAAUCUCCUGUCAAAGUUUGCUCUGUUUUUUAUGGAAGGUGCUUCACCAUAUUUUGCCUGUCAAAGAUAUUAUUGUUCGAAGGAGUUUACAAGUUGAUUCUAGCUGCCCGGAGUGCAGGACUGCUUCAGAAACUAUAGAGUAUAUGUUUUUUUAUUGCAAGGUGGCUCUGAGACUGUGGAGAGACUCAAAUCUGGGUUGGAUUUCUCGAUUUGGAGUCCUAUGUCUUUUUCUGAUUGGUUUUCUUACUGUAUUAAAGAAGAUUUGGAUAUUUGAACUAUUUGGGAGGCUACGGGCAUUUUGUGGGUUAUUUGGUGCAAAAGCGGAAUAGACUUUCAUUUCAAGGGAUUCAUCGUUCCCUCCAAGAGAGUUUGCAGGAGAAUCGUCAGCUUUGGGGCUGCUAAAGGAGGCUCAGCAGGAUUCCUAAGGGCUUUCCAUGUUUUUGCGAAGUGUAACCGAGCUGUGUUCUCAAAUAUAGGGGGAGGAGUGAGUGCUGUAACUCCUAGGAUUGCUGUGGAUGGGGCUUGGUGUGCAAAUACUUGGAUAGGGGCAGCUGCUUGGCGGGCACUCUCUCAAAAUGGCUUCAUUCGGGAUAAAGGUGUCUCUGUUGGCUUUGCUUCUUUAGCUACUAUGGUCGAAGCAAUGACGAUCUUAAGGGCUUUGCAAUGGGCUGAAAGGAUGGGGGGAAAUUCUCAUGGAUUGUUUAAUAUGGUGCAUGGCCUGGCAGGGUGUCAGUGUCUGGAUGCUUCUGUUAAGCCUACUUUGUUAGAUGUUAUAGGUUUAGCUCUUGAUUUCCGAUUAUUGCACUUUUGAAAGUUCCUAAGCAAGUUGUAAAAGCAGCACAUAGUUUGGUUAAGUCGCAUGACUAUCAAGAGCCUUCAAUUGCAUUCUGGAAACAAGGGGUCUUUCUUUUGGUAGUCAAAGGUUGUUUGAGUUAUGACUGUAAGAAAGGUUCUUUAACAGAUGAGGAUGUCACGGCAGGUAUAUUAUGUUGCUAUCUUGGUGGCAUGAGUGGUUAUAGUGGCCGAUUGAAACAAGAAUGUGAGGUUGAACACAUCAGCAAAUGGAGGAAAGCAACUGAGAGUAACCAAUCACAGUUCUCAAAUGGAUACCCUCCCUAGGUGGAAAGUGCAAGAUAGGGCCAAAGAAUCUGCCACAAAUAGCCAAAGCCACAAGAUCCAAUGGAGCUCGAAUACUUUUCAUGUUAGAUAAGAAGGUACCACAAAACUUUAGAUUCAUCAUGUUGUACUUCACUCCUUCAUGUGGUUGAGCUUGGGUUCAACUUUGUGCUCAUUUUUCCCGGUGGAAAAGUGAAAAGUGCAAUUGUCUUUCUGAAAGCACACCACUGACAUAAAGGAAGUGGGGAAGCCGCGGAAAGCAACCAAUGGCGUUACAGAAUUGGAUACCUAAAAGGAGUAAAAGAGACCAGAUGGCACUUUAGUUGAUAUGCACAUCUUUGUCUUUGAUGUUUAUAGGAAGUGGGGAAGCCGUGGAAAGCAACCAAUGGCGUUGCAGAAUUGGAUUCCUAAAGAGUAAAGGGAGUAAAAUAAAUGACCAGGUGGCACAACAAAAAAGAUGAAAAGCACAACAAACCAAAUACUCCUAUUAGGAUUGGGGAAUCCAAAUUACCUCCAAACCCUAGCCAAUCACUUCUUUUCUAUUGCUUAACUACUCUACCCACCACUCAUCUUAUUUGGCAUUCCCUAUACUCCAAUCUACAAUUCAUACAAGCCCUCUUUCCCCUCUCUACUUUUGUCUUCCCUUCGUAUACAGUAGCAUUAUUACAAGGACCUCAAGAAAUGGUGAGAUAGGGUUGUUGGUGCAGACUUAAUUGUUUGCCGGUACUUGGAUCGGCCCAGACACCUGAGACUUGAGUUAUCAAAAAAGUCUUGAUCAAGUUGCGAAGUAUUAAUCGAGUUGUGGCUCGACGUUGGCAGAUUGACUCAUGAGGCCUAGAC